UACAGAGGUCUCAACCGUUGUUCGGAUUCACUGGGCGUAAAGGGUGCGUAGGUGGUGAGGUAAGUCGGAUGUGAAAUCUCCGAGCUCAACUCGGAAAUGGCAUUGGAAACUACCUUGCUCGAGGGUUGGAGGGGGGACUGGAAUGCUUGGUGUAGCAGUGAAAUGCGUAGAUAUCAAGCGGAACACCAGUGGCGAAGGCGAGUCCCUGGACAACUCCUGACACUGAGGCACGAAAGCUAGGGGAGCAAACAGG
rnacentral:rRNA from 1 species